rnacentral:rRNA from 1 species
CAGAGGGUGCGAGCGUUGUUCGGAAUCACUGGGCGUAAAGCGCGCGCAGGCGGGCGUGUAAGUCAGAAGUGAAAUUCCGGGGCUCAACCCCGGAGCUGCUUCUGAUACUGCAGGUCUGGGGACCGGUAGAGGCUGGUGGAAUUCCCGGUGUAGCGGUGGAAUGCGUAGAGAUCGGGAAGAACACCCGUGGCGAAGGCGGCCAGCUGGGCCGGUUCUGACGCUGAGGCGCGAAAGCGUGGGGAGCAAACAGGAUUAGAUACCCUGGUAGUCCACGCUGUAAACGAUGGGCACUAGGUGCCGGGGGGAGCGACCCCUUCGGUGCCGCAGCUAACGCGUUAAGUGCCCCGCCUGGGGAGUACGGCCGCAAGGCUG